UUAAGCGACCAAGCGUACACGGUGGAUGCCCUGGCAGUCAGAGGCGAUGAAGGACGUGCUAAUCUGCGAAAAGCGCCGGUAAGGUGAUAUGAACCGUUAUAACCGGCGAUGUCCGAAUGGGGAAACCCAGUGUGACUCGUCACACUAUCAUUAACUGAAUCCAUAGGUUAAUGAGGCGAACCGGGGGAACUGAAACAUCUAAGUACCCCGAGGAAAAGAAAUCAACCGAGAUUCCCCCAGUAGCGGCGAGCGAACGGGGAGAAGCCCAGAGCCUGAAUCAGCAUGUGUGUUAGUGGAAGCGUCUGGAAAGGCGUGCGAUACAGGGUGAGAGCCCCGUACACAAAAGCGCAUAUGCUGUGAGCUCGAUGAGUAGGGCGGGACACGUGGUAUCCUGUCUGAAUAUGGGGGGACCAUCCUCCAAGGCUAAAUACUCCUGACUGACCGAUAGUGAACCAGUACCGUGAGGGAAAGGCGAAAAGAACCCCGGCGAGGGGAGUGAAACAGAACCUGAAACCGUGUACGUACAAGCAGUGGGAGCCUCUCUUUAUGGGGGGUGACUGCGUACCUUUUGUAUAAUGGGUCAGCGACUUAUAUUCUGUAGCAAGGUUAACCGCAUAGGGGAGCCGAAGGGAAACCGAGUCUUAAUUGGGCGUUAAGUUGCAGGGUAUAGACCCGAAACCCGGUGAUCUAGCCAUGGGCAGGUUGAAGGUUGGGUAACACUAACUGGAGGACCGAACCGACUAAUGUUGAAAAAUUAGCGGAUGACCUGUGGCUGGGGGUGAAAGGCCAAUCAAACCGGGAGAUAGCUGGUUCUCCCCGAAAGCUAUUUAGGUAGCGCCUCGUGAACUCAUCUCCGGGGGUAGAGCACUGUUUCGGCUAGGGGGCCAUCCCGGCUUACCAACCCGAUGCAAACUGCGAAUACCGGAGAAUGUUAUCACGGGAGACACACGGCGGGUGCUAACGUCCGUCGUGAAGAGGGAAACAACCCAGACCGCCAGCUAAGGUCCCAAAGUCAUGGUUAAGUGGGAAACGAUGUGGGAAGGCCCAGACAGCCAGGAUGUUGGCUUAGAAGCAGCCAUCAUUUAAAGAAAGCGUAAUAGCUCACUGGUCGAGUCGGCCUGCGCGGAAGAUGUAACGGGGCUAAACCAUGCACCGAAGCUGCGGCAGCGACACUUUAGUGUUGUUGGGUAGGGGAGCGUUCUGUAAGCCGUUGAAGGUGUCCUGUGAGGGGUGCUGGAGGUAUCAGAAGUGCGAAUGCUGACAUAAGUAACGAUAAAGCGGGUGAAAAGCCCGCUCGCCGGAAGACCAAGGGUUCCUGUCCAACGUUAAUCGGGGCAGGGUGAGUCGACCCCUAAGGCGAGGCCGAAAGGCGUAGUCGAUGGGAAACGGGUUAAUAUUCCCGUACUUGGUGUUACUGCGAAGGGGGGACGGAGAAGGCUAUGUUGGCCGGGCGACGGUUGUCCCGGUUUAAGCGUGUAGGCUGGUUUUCCAGGCAAAUCCGGAAAAUCAAGGCUGAGGCGUGAUGACGAGGCACUACGGUGCUGAAGCAACAAAUGCCCUGCUUCCAGGAAAAGCCUCUAAGCAUCAGGUAACAUCAAAUCGUACCCCAAACCGACACAGGUGGUCAGGUAGAGAAUACCAAGGCGCUUGAGAGAACUCGGGUGAAGGAACUAGGCAAAAUGGUGCCGUAACUUCGGGAGAAGGCACGCUGACACGUAGGUGAAGUGAUUUACUCAUGGAGCUGAAGUCAGUCGAAGAUACCAGCUGGCUGCAACUGUUUAUUAAAAACACAGCACUGUGCAAACACGAAAGUGGACGUAUACGGUGUGACGCCUGCCCGGUGCCGGAAGGUUAAUUGAUGGGGUCAGCGCAAGCGAAGCUCCUGAUCGAAGCCCCGGUAAACGGCGGCCGUAACUAUAACGGUCCUAAGGUAGCGAAAUUCCUUGUCGGGUAAGUUCCGACCUGCACGAAUGGCGUAAUGAUGGCCAGGCUGUCUCCACCCGAGACUCAGUGAAAUUGAACUCGCUGUGAAGAUGCAGUGUACCCGCGGCAAGACGGAAAGACCCCGUGAACCUUUACUAUAGCUUGACACUGAACAUUGAGCCUUGAUGUGUAGGAUAGGUGGGAGGCUUUGAAGCGUGGACGCCAGUCUGCGUGGAGCCGACCUUGAAAUACCACCCUUUAAUGUUUGAUGUUCUAACGUGGACCCGUAAUCCGGGUUGCGGACAGUGUCUGGUGGGUAGUUUGACUGGGGCGGUCUCCUCCUAAAGAGUAACGGAGGAGCACGAAGGUUGGCUAAUCCUGGUCGGACAUCAGGAGGUUAGUGCAAUGGCAUAAGCCAGCUUGACUGCGAGCGUGACGGCGCGAGCAGGUGCGAAAGCAGGUCAUAGUGAUCCGGUGGUUCUGAAUGGAAGGGCCAUCGCUCAACGGAUAAAAGGUACUCCGGGGAUAACAGGCUGAUACCGCCCAAGAGUUCAUAUCGACGGCGGUGUUUGGCACCUCGAUGUCGGCUCAUCACAUCCUGGGGCUGAAGUAGGUCCCAAGGGUAUGGCUGUUCGCCAUUUAAAGUGGUACGCGAGCUGGGUUUAGAACGUCGUGAGACAGUUCGGUCCCUAUCUGCCGUGGGCGCUGGAAGACUGAGGGGGGCUGCUCCUAGUACGAGAGGACCGGAGUGGACGCAUCACUGGUGUUCGGGUUGUCAUGCCAAUGGCACUGCCCGGUAGCUAAAUGCGGAAAAGAUAAGUGCUGAAAGCAUCUAAGCACGAAACUUGCCCCGAGAUGAGUCUUCCCUGAGACUUUGAGUCUCCUGAAGGAACGUUAAAGACGAUGACGUUGAUAGGCCGGGUGUGUAAGCGCAGCGAUGCGUUGAGCUAACCGGUACUAAUGAACCGUGAGGCUUAACCUU
rnacentral:rRNA from 1 species